UGUGAUGAGUCCCAGGGGAUGGGGAAUUAUCCUCUCUCAAAGGUUAAUCUGGAGAGCCAGGAGUCGUGGCCUGGUGGGAUCUGAUCUCCCUGGCAACCACAGCAGUCCGUGGGGAAGGCCGGGUUUGCGAUGUGUUGUGGAGACUGAGUGGUUGCUAAGGGGUGGGGGUGACUCUGAGAAACGGACAGAGGCAGAGAGAGAGAGGAAGGGCCGCAGAGAAGCGUGGGCAAGCGUCUGAACCUCAUUUCGGGCCCUGGGGACGAGUGGAUUGGCAGCAGCAGCAGCGCGGUGAAAGGUCAGAGGUCAUUCGCCGACAAGGCGGAACCGCCGGUUCCAAAUCUCCGCUGGCCUUUCCCAUGUUCUUCACAUUGAAGUACGGUGACGACAAGAUGGCCCUCUUGAACCUGCAGUGCCAGGUCCCCGUACUCAUGGAUCACAUCAGGACCCUCUGUCACUGCAGACCGCAAGAGGAAGUUGAUCUCAGUGAUGCCUCCGGGAUGGUGAAAAAUUUGUCAAUGUUUCCUGCAGUUUACGCGUCUGAACUACUGAAGGAGCGUGAGGUGCUGAUACCAGUGAGAGUGGAA